CUCCUCACCCCUCUCCCACUGUCAGUUCGGUUUCUUCUCUAUAUCUCACACAACGAGCACAAUAAUAAUAUAAUAACAAAACAUUGUACAACAAAACUGGUUUUAAACCGGUUCCGUACAUAAACAUACAGUGACACUUACUACUAUAGUUAUUGAUUGAUAGUUAAAACUGAAAUAUUUAAUGUACUGUCAUGAUAAUUGUACACUAAAUAGUGAAGAUAAAAGAAGAUAAAACAAUUUAAUAAAUUGUAAACAAAGUAAUCCACUACACCGCAGAACAGUGUUCAUAAAAAACUGGUUUUCAGGAAGCCUUAAAAAGUGAAAAAGUGACACAAAAAAGCAUUUUUAGAAUUUUAUUAUGAACAUGCAUAUUAGGAAAUAUUCGUUGAUGUUCUUUAGUUUUGUAAAACUGGGAUUAUGACAGUUUUCUUAAAAAGGUUUGUUGAUUAGUUGAUUGAUUGAUUGAUCAGUUGAUCAGCUCACUAGCAGGGACAAGGUGGCGCACUCACAUAUUCAAGUUGAGGUUUCCACCACAGUAUGGGGACAGGCUCAGUUAAGCCAGGGUAGGUGGACUGGAAGCUCUGGUAACUCUGGCAACUAUUCAAAUCCAGAUUCUAUCAUGACCCAGGCGGAUAUGAACGGAGAAAAAGACCAACAAGCUCUACCAUCAUUCUCAAAUCUGACUAGUCAUGGUGAUAGCUCUGAUCUUGAGAAAGCUGCGAUGAACACUGCUGUAGCCGCUGCUACUGCUACUGCUACUGCAACAGCAACCGCUACUGCACAAGCUCUCAUCGAGAAUAAAGGAAACGGUGAUCUCCAAAACCAGGGAGGAGGAGGAAAGGGAAUAAUGCAUGAAGGAUCCAUGUCUCCCAUGUCCGGCAUGCAAAAUAUGCUGCCUGGCAUGAACUCAAGUGAUGGCAUGAACGGCAUGCAGCGAAUGUCCAACAUGUCCGGCAUGAUGUCCCCCAAUAUGAUGCAGAACGGGAUGCAGAGUGGAAUGCAGAACAUGAUGCACGGUCAUGGGAUGCAAAACGGGAUGUCCGGGAUGAAUGGAAUGCAAGGCAUGAAUGGGAUGAACGGGAUGAAUGGAAUGAAUGGCAUGGGGAUGAGCGGAUAUGGAAACAGUCAGAUGCAGCAGAUGCAGUACGGUAAUGGAUACUCCAGUAUGCAGAUGAACCAGGCCGGUUACCACAUUAACCCGAUGGGGAUGAACUCUAUGAGUCGGAUGGGGAUGAUGCAGGGGAUGAACCCCCGGAUGAACAUGAUGAAUAUGCCCUCCUCCUCUUCAAUAUCCAGUAUGCCAAACAUGUCUAAUAUGUCUAACAUGGCAAAUAUGCCAAUAAGAGCAGGUGGGCCUAGUAUUAACAUGAGGAUGCCAAUUGAUUCACGUAUGUACAGUGCACAGGGCCGACCCUCUCCUUACCCUAACCCGGCCAUGUACAUGGCCCAAAAAAGACACCAAACUCCUAUGUACAACAGUCAGAUGCAAGGUGUUGGUCCCAUGUGCCCGUCUAACGGUCAGUACAUGGGCCGAACCCCCUUCCCCGGCCCUCAGGGCGGGUACCCCAUGGGCCACCCUCAUAAUAUGGGAGGUGGGCCUGGGCCUGGAUAUAGUGGCAUGCCUCCCAGCAUGCGGCAUUCAAAUAUGAUGCCUGGUAACAUGCCUAUGACUUCCAUGCCCCAAAGCUACCCAGUGAGCUCGCAAAUGGGCCCGAUGAACUCUGUAAUGCGCCCCUCCGGCCCUGGUAGUGGAUACCCCGGUCCUAUGGGAAUGCAGGGUAGCGGAAUGUACCCAGUGCGCCCCAAAACCGAAAUUCCAACCGUUUCUCCGCGCGGCGCAUCCAUCUCUACCUUCCAACAUUCGCCUGUACCAGGAAAUCCUACUCCGCCCCUGACACCGAACGGGGCGGGAAAUUGUAUAUCCGCCCCCUUUGCCUCUCCACUCAGUGAACACGGCAGCACUAACUCCGAUACCAAACCAAACUUUAACCUGGCCAAAGAAGAACUGCGUUUAACGUUCCCAGUGCAGGACGGUAUUCUUCUACCACCGUUUAGGUUGGAGCAUAAUCUGGCUGUUUCCAACCACGUCUUUCAUCUUAAACCCCAGGUUCACCAGACCCUGAUGUGGAGACCAGAUCUAGAACUACAGCUAAAAUGUUUCCACCAUGAAGAUAGAUCUAUGAACACAAACUGGCCUAGCAGCGUUCAGGUUAGCGUGAAUGCUACUCCUCUAAUGAUUGAGAGAUCAACUGAGGGUAAAACUGGUCACAAACCUCUCUACUUAAAGGAUGUUUGUCAAGCAGGACGGAAUACUAUUCAGAUUACUGUCUCAGCAUGCUGCUGUUCGCACUUGUUUGUUCUACAGCUGGUUCAUAGACCAUCGGUUAGAUCAGUACUACAAGGGUUAUUGCGUAAGCGUCUGCUUCCUCUUGAGCACUGUAUAAGUAAGAUAAAACGCAACUUUUCCACCAACAGCAAUGGUCAGGACAACAGCAAUCCUGGAGGAAAUCAGGAGGACGGACUAGAACAGACAAGUCAGAAGGUGUCUCUUAGAUGCCCGUUAACAUUUAAACGUAUUGGUCUACCUGCCCGCGGUCAUGACUGUCGGCAUAUUCAAUGUUUUGAUCUUGAAUCCUACCUAAAGAUGAAUUGUGACAAGGGGGUCUGGAAGUGCCCGGUGUGCAAUAAAACUGCACUACUGGAGGGUCUCGAGGUAGAUCAGUACAUGCUUAGUGUACUGCAGAAUCCUGCAUGUACAGACGCAGAGGAGGUACAAGUAGAUGAACAGGCAAAUAUGCAGCCCCUGCAUAUCAAGAGUGAGAACGGUGAGCAGGAUUGUAGUUCCUCGAUGCACCCUAUCUCCCCGGGGAGUAUUAAACUGCCCAGCAUGGGAUCCUGGGACCUAACGUCGUUGAAAUCUCCAGCUCUAUACGCACCUCCAGACAUGAACAGUAUUGUAUCCGGGCAGUAUCCUCUAGAAGAAGGUCCUUUAUCCCAGAUGUCUGAAGCUGUAAACAAUAUUGGAGAGGGAGGACUGGGUCCUCAUACACCUUGCACCCCUCAUACACCGGGCAUGCCCGCCACCCCUCACACUCCCGGGACCGGGCAUAAGAGUCCGAGAAAUGGGAAUAACAGUGCUGAGAAAAACAAAGAUCUGUCAGAUAUUCGGACUGAUUUCUCCCUGGACGAUCUAAACUUUGACCCCGCAGCUCUUAUUGGUGAAGGUAGCGGGGACUGGAAUUUAAAUAACAUGGAUCCGAGUGAUCUAUUGUCCUUCCUUGAUGGGCCGGGAGACCUAGCCACGCCCCCGUCCUCUGGGGCGGGAUCGGAAAGUGGAAGCCGGCAAAACACAUCCCAAGACGACCUUUUAUCUCUUUUCGACUGAAACCUACAGCGCCAUAUAUGGAGAAAAUUUGAAACAUUUUAAGCCAAUAAAAAUGGCGGGUGAACAAACAACUUCUUUUUGGGCUCGAUAAGUCGAGUUGACUCAUCACCAAACUUAUCUGAAUUGAGAAGUUUUCUCUCUCUCUACCUACUUUAAGCCAAAAUACAGUUUUAAUUUGAAUGCUUGUGAUAUAUCAUGAUAUUGCAAAUUCCAAGUUUAAUCAGAAACGGUUUCCAAAAAUAACCCGAGAUUUCCGGAAUUCUGGACUUUGUAUCCGAUUCAUUUAAAAACAUAAAUUUAUAUAUUAGAAAAAAUGAGGAACCUUUAUAAAAUAUUAUAAUCGUUAACGCCUGAUGCAUGUGUUCGACCUAAAGGAUGUUAAGGGGUUAACCCCCUUAACAUUGUCCACAUAUAUAUGAAUUUGUCUAUAAAUGUAUAUAUGUUAAAUAAUGUCACAAAACUUAAACAAGUUUUAAGGAAGAAUAUCACCUACUUUAUGUAAAAAAGCCUUUUGUACAAAAUUGAUUAAUUUGAUAGACCAAAUCUAAUUAAAAAAGUAUUAUUAUUCAGUUUUACUAUUUACGCCCUGAAUUGGUCUUUUCAAUAAGUACAAAACAAAGAUCUUUCAGAAUCCCUCUUCCCCGUAAAAAAAACAUAAUCCCAUAUGCAAUAUCAUAUAUGCAAUUAUCUAGAAAUUUAUUAAUUCAUUCAUAGAGAAUUUAGUCCCAGUGUAGAAAAUCAGAAAAAAUGUAAAUUUUAGUGAUAUUAUAUUUGUAAAAAUUAGAGAAAGCUGAUCAGCACCAAAACCUAGUUUUAUUUUCAUGCUUCGUGUACUAAAUGCUUUAUAUCAAGUCGAUUUCUGAUGUAAUGUAUUAAUAUCAAGUGGAUUGGAUGUGUGUACUUAAUGAUUUAUAUCGAGUCGAUUUUAAGUGUACUGAAUGAUUUAUAUCGAGUUGAUUGUAAGUAUGUGUACUGGAUGCAUUACUUGGAGUAAAUCGAAAGUAUGAUUA
rnacentral:misc_RNA from 1 species